rnacentral:rRNA from 1 species
GAUGAACGCUGGCGGCGUGCCUAAUACAUGCCAGUCGAGCGAACAGAUAAGGAGCUUGCUCCUUUGACGUUAGCGGCGGACGGGUGAGUAACACGUGGGUAACCUACCUAUAAGACUGGGAUAACUUCGGGAAACCGGAGCUAAUACCGGAUAACAUUUGGAACCGCAUGGUUCUAAAGUGAAAGAUGGUUUUGCUAUCACUUAUAGAUGGACCCGCGCCGUAUUAGCUAGUUGGUAAGGUAACGGCUUACCAAGGCAACGAUACGUAGCCGACCUGAGAGGGUGAUCGGCCACACUGGAACUGAGACACGGUCCAGACUCCUACGGGAGGCAGCAGUAGGGAAUCUUCCGCAAUGGGCGAAAGCCUGACGGAGCAACGCCGCGUGAGUGAUGAAGGGUUUCGGCUCGUAAAACUCUGUUAUUAGGGAAGAACAAACGUGUAAGUAACUGUGCACGUCUUGACGGUACCUAAUCAGAAAGCCACGGCUAACUACGUG